CAGUAGCCACGGGAAUACGUAUGUCACAAGCGUUAUCCGGAUUUAUUGGGCGUAAAGCGCGUCUAGGUGGUUAUGUAAGUCUGAUGUGAAAUGCAGGGCUCAACUCUGUAUUGCGUUGGAAACUGUGUAACUAGAGUACUGGAGAGGUAAGCGGAACUACAAGUGUAGAGGUGAAAUUCGUAGAUAUUUGUAGGAAUGCCGAUGGGGAAGCCAGCUUACUGGACAGAUACUGACGCUAAAGCGCGAAAGCGUGGGUAGCAAACAGGAUUAGAUACCCCGGUAGUCCCUGUCUCUUAUACAC
rnacentral:rRNA from 1 species